UGGAAAAGUUAAUAACAUGGCUAUGUCUUU
rnacentral:piRNA from 1 species